GGCCCCGAGGGCCCCGCACAGCUUAAGCGCUCAAGGUUUCUCCCACCACAAUCCUGAGUGGUGACAAGAUGGUGACCUCGUUAGGGUGCUGCGUUUGGCGCAAUGGACCCCAAAGGCUACGGCCGGGCGCCCUCACUGGGUUCUGUGUGCUCGCGCGCGUUGGAGCCACCAGGAGCAUCUGCCUACCUAGAGGACUUCUGAAGGCAUCACUCUAAACUUGAACCAGAUCUUCCUGCAUUAGUGGGCUGGAUAUAGUAGCAGAGUGGAGGAAAGCAGAGAACCCAUGUUCUGAAUUCCUCUCCAGCAUGCGUCCAAGAGCUAGCCUCCAGAGCCUGAAGCAAAAGACCCCACUGUUCCAAUUUUCAUUUCAGACAUGCUCAUUUCUGAGAUGCUCAUCAUCCAGUCAAGAGUUGCCUGUUGAAUGUUUUAUGCUGACUCACCCUGUUUCAGGGCAAUUUCCUCAUCUGUAUGUCAAGGUUGAACAUAUUUUACCAUCUUACCAAUCAAGUCCAGAAGAUACGAUGAUGCUAUAUUUUCAGAAAUUAAUAAACAUAUCUAGUAUUAUAAGUUU